GGGGGUAUAGCUCAGUGGUAGAGCACUUGCCUGUCAAGUAUGAGGCCCUGAGUUCCAUCA
rnacentral:tRNA from 1 species